AAAAAAAGCAUUAAACGGAUACCUUGACAAAAGAUUCUAUUGGAUGUUGUACAACAAAAAUUUUAGCUGAGCUGUAAUGCUGGGACGCUGAAAUGUCCAAUAAAAGAAAUUUUUCUCUUGGAAGUUUUCAGAAAAGUGAAUUGAAACAUCUUAGUAACUUUUUAAGAAAUCAAACGAGAUACUGAAAGUAGUGGCGAACGAACUCAGUACAGGCAAAAAACAUAGAUAAAACACCAAUUGAACCUCGAGACCAGAGAAGGUUUAAGUCCUGUAGAUCGGCAAAAACUGUGUUUUUAAGUAAAAGAGGUUGUACUCUUUGAACAAUGGGGGACCACCCUCAAAGCCUAAAUUUUGGUCUUUUGAUCGAUAGUGAACGAGUACUGUGAAGGAAAGGACAUACAUCCUAGGAUGUUUUGAAAUUUAAUGCUAGCAAUCGGUUGGAGCUUUAUAAAGUGACAGCGUACCUUUUGCAUAAUGGGUCAGCGAGUUUUUAAAAAAGGCAAGCUUUUAACGAGGCGAAGAAAAUACGAAUUUUAAAAAAUAACCAGUCUUUUUUAAAAGACCCGAAACUGAGUGAUCUAACCUUGAACAGGCUGAAGACAGAGUGGUAACAUUCGUUGGAGGGCCGAACCCGUGUCUGUGGCAACAUACUGGGAUGAUUUGAGGUUAGGAGUGAAAGGCUAAUCAAACUCAGAGAUAGCUGGUUUUCUGCGAAAUCUAUUUAAGUAGAGCGAUCAAGUAAAACUUUUUGGGGUAGAGCACUUUUUAGAUGAUGGGGCAAUUUCGCUUACUGAUUUUAAGAAAACUCCGAAUACAAAAAGCUCUGAACUUGAUCAGACAGACCAUGGGUGCUAAGGUCCAUGGUCAAGAGGGAAACAGCCCAGAUUGAUCGCUAAGGUCCCAAAGAAAUCUUUCAGUUUAAGGAAGUAAGAUUACGAAGACAACUAGUAGGUCGGCUUGGAAGCAGCCAUCCUUGAAAGAAAUCGUAACAGAUCACUGGUCGAGUAAUUUUGCACCGAAAAUUUAUGGGCAUUAAAAGAUUCGCCGAAGCGGCAAACUUUUUUAAGUGGUAGCAGAACGUUCUGUGAAAUCAAUGAAGAAAAUUUGAGAAAAUUUUUCGAGAAAUCAGAAGUGAAAAUGCUGACAUGAGUAACAAAAAACAAUGUACAGAAUCAUUGUGGCUGUAAAUCCAAGGGUUUUGACGGAAGGAUUAUCCGCGUCAUGCCAUCUUUCGAUGGACAUAUUAGACGGUCCCUAAGAACGCUGAUGACAAUCAGGUUUGAUGGGUUAAACGUUUCGUUUCUUUAAAAAAAUGACAGAUUCUUAAGAUUAUUUUUAGUUUAUAGAGGAAACUAAAGGUGGUGGACGAAUUUCAGGAAAAAGUUUUUUUACUGCACAAACCGUACCUUAAACCAACACAGGUGGAUGGGUGGAAUACACUAAAGCCAAUGAGAGAAUGAUGUUGAAGGAACUCGGCAAAAUGAUUCCGUAACUUCGGAAGAAGGAAUAACCUUGCGAGGGCAACCUUGCAAGGUUGGCACAGAAUUGGGGGUAGCGACUGUUUAAUAAAAACACAGGUCUCUGCAAAUUUGUAAAAAGAUGUAUAGGGACUGACACCUGCCCGGUGCUGUAAGGUUAAACUAUGCUGUUUUGGCAGUGUACAUAAGCCUCAGUAAACGGCGGCUGUAACUCUGACGGUCCAAAGGUAGCGAAAUUCCUUGUCGGGUAAGUUCCGACCUGCACGAAUGGCGUAACGACUUCCCCGCUGUCUCCAACAUCGACUCAGCGAAAUUGAAUUACCUGUCAAGAUGCAGGUUUCCCGCGGUUAGACGGAAAGACCCCGUGCACCUUUACUACAGCUUCGCACUGGCAUCAGGACUGCAAUGUGCAGGAUAGGUGGUAGGCUUCGAAGCAGGGACGCCAGUUCCUGUGGAGCCUUCCUUGAGAUACCACCCUUUGCAUUCUUGAUGUCUAACCGCGGUCCGUUAUCCGGAUCCGGGACCCUGCGUGGCGGGUAGUUUGACUGGGGCGGUCGCCUCCUAAAGAGUAACGGAGGCGCGCGAAGGUUCCCUCAGCGCGGUCGGCAAUCGCGCGGCGAGUGCAAAGGCAGAAGGGAGCCUGACUGCGAGAGCGACAGCUCGAGCAGCUGCGAAAGCAGGCCUUAGUGAUCCGGUGGUUCCAUGUGGAAGGGCCAUCGCGCAACGGAUAAAAGGUACGCUGGGGAUAACAG
rnacentral:rRNA from 1 species